rnacentral:rRNA from 1 species
AGUGAACGCUGGCGGUAGGCCUAACACAUGCAAGUCGAACGGCAGCACAGUAAGAGCUUGCUCUUACGGGUGGCGAGUGGCGGACGGGUGAGGAAUACAUCGGAAUCUACUUUUUCGUGGGGGAUAACGUAGGGAAACUUACGCUAAUACCGCAUACGACCUACGGGUGAAAGCAGGGGAUCUUCGGACCUUGCGCGAUUGAAUGAGCCGAUGUCGGAUUAGCUAGUUGGCGGGGUAAAGGCCCACCAAGGCGACGAUCCGUAGCUGGUCUGAGAGGAUGAGCAGCCCCACUGGAAGUGAGACACGGUCCAGCCUCCUACGGGAGGCAGCAGUGGGGAAUAUUGGACAAGGGGCGAAAGCCUGAUCCAGCCAUACCGCGUGGGUGAAGAAGGCCUUCGGGUUGUAAAGCCCUUUUGUUGGGAAAGAAAGGCAGCAGGUUAAUCCCCCGCUGUUUUGACGUUACCAAAAGAAUAAGCCCCGGCUAACUUCGUG